GUAUUGUCAAAAUAACAAAUGACCAAACAAUAUCCUUUUUUUCUGUGUACUCAUAAUAGAUAUAUUUUGAUAACUUGUUAACAAAGAUAUGAAGACUUUCAAGAUAACUCGUUAAAAGUUGAAGUGGCUGUCACAGAUUGACAUCCCAUUCAUUGUAAAAUGCAAGAUUUUAUUUUAUGAUUUAUGAAUGUAUUCUUUUUUCUUUCUUUGUGCCUUAUCUACGCCAUCUCGUAUGAGAAUAUAUCAUUACGGGAAUAAAAAUGGUAAAAUGGUAUUUUGUUCAGUGCGCUCGAGACUCAUGCGAGAUCUUAAUCCAACUUUAAUAAUAGCAGAUAUUCGACACGCUGCUCUCUACCUGCAGUAAGGAAUCAGUGCUUCCAGCCGCUUUUAAUGGUGAUAACUAGAUAGAAAAUCAUUUCUCUCGAAUCGUAAGUACUUUGUAAUACCGGAUCGUCGAAUUACAUAAAUUCCAGCGCGAAGAAAGAGAGGAAGAUGUGAACUACCUUAUUAUCCGCUUCCAUCUGCCUGUUGCGUUAAAUUAGGAAUAUGAGCGUAGUCUAAUUUUCUCGAGGGCAGUGUCGCCAUUACAAAGUUCGCAUUCACCAUCGUAAAUACUCACAAAAGCGAAUUAUCCCAGUGAAUGCACAAAGCGAGGAGAAUGUACAGAGUAUUCAAAAAGAGUAACGACUCUCUUUUAAAAUCACAUCAAUUUGCGAUAAAAAUUAAGAACAAUUAUAUAAACGUCCAGGAAAAAAUUAAAUUGCUUUUAAUUUAAUUUUUUUUAUCAUAAACAUACGAUGAAAGCAAGUUUUCUCAUCUCAUUGGCGUUAAAUGUCCGUUUCUUCAUAUUUCUAUCAAAACAAAUAGCGCUUUAUUACACUGAGCAAAAAUGUUGUUAAUUUAACCAAAUUUUUCAACUUGAUUAAAUUUAUUCAGUUCAAAUAUUUAUUCAUUCAACUUAAAACUUCUAUUCAAGUAUUUAUAUAUUGGACUGAAAUACAUAGAUGCUUGAAUUCAAGAAAUUUAAUCAAGUUAAAAAAUUUAAUUAAAUGAAGAACUUUUUUUUCUUGGUGUAAUAAAACGCGGAAAAUUAUUUCCAAAAGUCUUUAAAAAUUUUGAGAUCCACGUUCGCGAAUGCUUCAGCAUUCUCAGCACGGAAAUGGCAUAUAUUUCCGAGGCUCGGCCGUACCUUUUUUGGACGCCCCGUAUUGUAAUUCGUCUACUCGCGAGUUCGCGCGGAUGCAGCCAGAAAGGAAACGGAAUAUUUUUGCAGCCGCGAGUCUUGUCAUUUGCAGUCGCCGCGGCUAUUCCCGAUGCGGCUCCGCGGAUUCAAUAAGCCGCCGCCGUCCCCGGUCUUGUCUUCUCGCUCUCCGCCUUGUCGACGACAACCGCGCGUAUCCGCCGCUGGACUUUACACGCAGGAUGUCCCGUUUAAGAAUAUAAAUGCGGGCUAGCCCCGCGUGAGAGAGCGUAUCCCUCGUCGUUUACGAGAAAACGAUUUUUACGCGACACAUGUAGUAUAAUGAGCAACCAACGCAUAUAUGUUUCCCGGCAUAUAUAUUAGUCUUCCCGACGACCAAAUGAAUACCCGGAUUAUUUAUUUAUCUUGACGAUUUCGGAUUGUUUCAUGAAUUUAUUAACGCGCCACGAUUGACUUUUCUUUUAAUGCGGAAAGACGUAAACGACGUUGAAGCUUUUAUUUAACUGGCGACGCAAGAAAUGUUUUUUAAAAGAAUUUUUCAAUUAUAAUUUCUGCAUCCCGUCUCAAGCCGCGUUAUUUGCUGGCAGUACGAACAUUAGAGAAAAUGAAUAUUUCAUGUGGAUUUCCAGAUCCAGAAUAUUACAAGUGCAUUUACGUCAUAAAAUUAUGACUGUGUAUAUAAUGCGCACAUACAUAUUACGAUACGGCUGCAUAAGUGACACUUAAACUUGAAGAAACUGCUAUUAUUAGCUUGUUAUAAACUAUUGCUAAUUUGCAUUCGUGUCUCGCAUUAAACUGUUCUUUUGAUACCACUGCGUUUUAUUUGCCUCGCGCUUGAGAAGCUGCGUUACUUAUUUCGGGCUGAAUAUCAGACAAUUGCCCAUAUAUACGCUAAAUGCCCAUGUGCAUAACGGUGCAUAAAGGAACGAAGAGCCGGCCGUAUGCAUUUCUUCCCUCGCGCAUUUUUUUCUCAUAAUGGAAGGCGCACUUGUCAGCGAGACUGUACCUUGCCCGAGUCUCUUUGAAAGCCCCGUGAGUUGAGUUCGUGCUCGGCUGUGUCAGUGAGGAGCUCGCGUGUGAGACUUAAUUUGUGGUUUUUGUGACGUGUGCACGUACGCGCACGCACACGGGGAAACGCCGAUGGUGCGGCGCGCGUGUGAAUGGACCGAAGACUCACCUUGAAAAGGAGUGAGUAUCGAAAGAGAGUCUUGUGCGUGCCGCUGCAGGCGGGCACUGCGGUCUAACGUGUGCGACAAAUGCGUGCACAUUGCGGCCGUUGGACGCGAAACGAACCAGGCGCAUUUUUGCAGACGCGAAACCGUUAGAGCACGUCAUUAUUGUGCCAGGCAGCGAUUGAAAGUGCGACUAGACCACUGUCAGAUCGCCACCGGACAAUUGUCCCGAUGACCAAGGAAUUUGAAAUAUCACGAUCCUUAUCUGCAUGGUCAAGAUGGCUUAUUCAUCGAGUCGCGUGAAUAGAGCGCUUCUACAAAGUCUGGUACCUUCUAGGACGACCUGUAUAUGGAAGGAAUUUAAAUAUUUUUAUCCGCAGAUUUUAAAUUAUAAUAUGUGAUAUGACUUGAAAGUCCCAACUUCCAAACCACGUUAAUCGUCUUCUUCGUUUCUACAACCGUUGAGAAGAUAAGCUUAUUAAUUUAAAAAGCAAGAGACACUAUAAAGACAUUUUUCACAAAAGUAACAUAUGAUCGUGAGACAUUGGCUGAGAAUUAUCGAGGUGCAGAUGGUACAAAAUGUAAUUACUGUCGGAGGUAAUGAAAGUCGCGAUGGUCUUGUUUCCGAUCGCGAGGAUAAUAACGUGCACGAACGUAUCGCCUGUCGUCUGCGAAAAUGCGAGUGCAAUCUUUUACGAGGAGAUGCGCCAAGCGGAUUUACGGCCCGACACGAGGAGACGAGGAUGUAAAUUUGUAAAGGAAUUAUUAGUAGACGCAGCGAAUCGUUUGCAAGUACCGACUCGUGUACAUCGGAUCGCUUGCAUCUCUUGGGAUUGCCGCUCGUUAUACAGGGAAUAGACAAAAUGAUGUGAGGACCUGGGAGAAAUACGCUACUUAUUUUAUUAAUAAGAGAUUGGUCCAUCAUUUGUCUUUAAUACAGAUUUUAUCCUUGUUUGGAAUAAAAUCAUACAAUAUUUAAAUAGCCACCAGUAAUGUUAUGCCAAUAUUUUUGUCUUAGUCUUUUAAGAGAUGUUGGAGGAGAAAGUCUAUUUUCCACAUUAUUCUUCAAAAAUUGUUCACAAUGAUUCGAUAAUAUUUAAAUCAGUUACGUUGGCUGAAAAAAAUGUAGAAGAAGAGAAAGCAGUUUUUGGAAAAUUGUGUGAAAAUAAAAUUUCUUUCUUCAAUAUUACUUAUAUAAUCAAUUAAAAAAUGUUUUACUAAACAUAAAUACAACAUUUAAGUAUCGUAUAACCUUUCCAAACAAUGAUAAAAUCUGUAUUAAAGACAAACAAUAGAUUAAUCUCUUAGGGGAUGCCAAAGUGCCCGUCAACCUUGAUCGGGAUCGAUAAUGUAGUAUAUAUUUCUUUUAUUGAUUUGAAAAUCCUUUUCCAGAAUUACAGUACUCGUAUUAAUAUCAGAAUAUAAAUUGGAAUUUAUAUAAAAGAAUAAAAAAAUGUUUUGCAGUUUGCUCUUUUUAUUAACCUAUAUUUGGAUUUGCAAUUAUAAAAAGUUCGUGAAACUAAUCUUUUUUUCUAGGCUUUUAAUCUUAGUUCAAAUUGCACAAUAUUGUUCGUAUAUGUUAUUUCUAGAGGAAUAAGGUUUUAUUUUGUACAUAUAUAUCGUAAAUUUUGUAUACUAAGCAAAUAUUGCCCUCAAGUGACAGCUCUACGCUGAAAUAAAUUUUUUUUUUUUUUUUUUAUACAUAAACUCGACUUUUUUCCUCCAGAUUUUGAUACGUAUUUUAAUUCUGUAAAAGAGUUUUGCGAUUCUAUAAAGCCAAUUAAAAGAUUAGUUUCUUUAAAAGAUAUCGGUAAAAUUAAAUUCGGAUUGCCCCUCUCUUGUACACCAUGCUCUUGUCAAACCCAAAACGCUUUCCUAUCUUUUGCCAUCUAUUUUCUUGUCAGUGAAAACGAGCACAUCGCGCGACACAUUCGUCAGAGUAGAAAAAAAAGGAGUUUAAAUCGUACGUGCCGCCCGGUUUGCUGGGCCCUUUGUAACAACUCGCCGUGAAAGUAUCAUGUAGGAAAGCAUGUUACACGUACGCAUAUAAUCCUGUUUUAUAGAAAACUUGAGAUAUAUUCCGGAUUCCGUGGAGAGGGAUCGCCUCGCGGCGGGACCGAGAGUUAGGUAUUCAGAAAAGCGUGCGGUUCAUAGGAAGUCUGCUACGUGACGGCGAUGUCAACCCGGGGCGAAGAAACGAGAAAUGAUAAUAAUAAAAAAAAAAAAGAAAGGAAGAACCGAGGGAGAAGAGCGCAGUGGAAAAAGAAAUAGCGAGGCGAUGAAGAGGCGACACGAGACGUUCGACCGUACCGUCUCUCGCAUAUGUAAUGCAUCCUUAAGGAAUUUUUUGCCUUCGCCAGUCGCUCCUAUCUCGUCUUUUACACGGAAAACAAUUACGUCGGACGCGUGUAUUUUAAGAUUGUUUUUUCAACUAGUGCGAUGCGAUCAAUCUUGUCGUCAACGCAAUGUCACUUCUUGCUGCUUCCUUAAUAUUCUCGUAAUUUUCUACGCGAAGUUGUUAUGGCAGCAAAUAAUGUAACAGAACAGGCUUUGUUUUUUGUUUCUUUUUUUUUCUGUCGUUCUUCUUAAAACGUUACGUGGCUAUGCUAAUCAUUUCGUAAAAUUAUCAUUGGACAAUUGCUAAUCUGAAUAAAGAUCGAUAGGAUUGAAACCCGUUCUUUCAACCGUGCGAUAUUUAUAGAACGAACGAAGAGUCAUACGGAGGAGACAGCCUCUUAAUCUCCGGAAUUAUCUUACGGACUGAGCUUCACAACAAUGCGCGUUGGCUACCUGCCGAUUUCUUUAAAAAAAUUCCAAAUGGAAAGGGUUUGACAACUUACAUAAAUCUGCCAAGCGUCUAUCACUCGUUUCUGUACUAUUGCCGCAAGCUGUUUAAAAAGGUUAUUACAAUGUUCUUCAAACAAACUGACCUUGAAAUGUUGGCUGGAUAUUGAUGAUAUUUUUCAACAUAAAAGUAUGAAAUAACCUAUUGUAAUAAGUGCCUGUGAAUUUCGUAUAAAAAGAAACAAAAAUGUGUAUCCAAAUAAAUCUUCUAAAAUUUAAUAAAUCUAUUCACAGUAUAUUAUUUUCUUUGUCACAAUCAAGCCAUUUAUUUUGGGCCAAAUAUCUUUUGCAAUUGAUGGUUGAAGAAAAUUCUCAAACAAUCCUUUUUUCUAAUACGUCCUGUUCAUUUGAACAAAAACCUAGAUCAGCAAUCUGGUAAGCAAAUCUCAAGUUUCUAGAUUGCAUUGUCAAGAGCAUAAAAAAUAUAUUAAAUGGACGGCUGAUAAUUUCGGAGGCAAAGUGACGUCAUGGCCGGCACAAACGAGGGUUGGUACAUUAUGACAAGAAGGGACCAUUUGACCCCACUCAUUGUUUCUAAUCCCACAAUAAAUUGAAGCAGCUGUACCGGCAAUUGAUACAAAUUUACGUACAGUCCGACUCAUAAGGCGCAGAUCUUACUUGCUGCGACGCGACUGUUGUGACUUAGUGUCCGUGCAUAUAACUCGUUUAUUAAAUUGUAUUUCGUUCUGUAUUUUAUGUAUAAAUCAUCUGUUCGAUUAUUUGAUGAAUCAUAAGCUAUUAAGAACAAUAUAAACGUCAUAGCUUUUAUAUCAUCGAAAUAAAAGACGUAGACGUAAGACACAAAUUGCUGGUAUCAUAUGGAAAUAUCACUUUUAAAAGUAAGCCUUCUAAAUAUUCCUUUUGCGGCAUGUAUCAUAAAUAUCUAAGUAAAAAUAAUAAAAAAUAUUAAAUAAAAACAUUUUCUAUAUGAA